CCACUGAAAGCAACCCCAUUCUCAGAGCUCUACCCGAUGCUCCAUGAAGGAUGAGGUUUUCUAGUCUGUCUGUUACAGAAGGGGAGAUGUGAGUGCAGAAGAAGGAACAGAGACAUGAUGGUGCUGGCUUUGAAGACAGAGGAAGAGGGCCGUGCAUGAUCCAAGGAGCUCAGGAGACCUCUAGAUGCUGGAGAAGCGUCUUCCAGGAUGCAUCUUCUCCGGGGAAGCAUUCCGUGCCCCCUGGCCUUUCAAGACCUGCCCAUCUAUCUGAAGUCCAAAGGAAAAGGCGGUGCCCCAGGAAUCGGAAAGCCCUGCAGGUACAUUCUGGAGAUGCCCGCGCCGGCAGCAAUGGCCUGCAAGUCUUAAACCUUCUCACU